AAAACUGAGCCACUUGUCCAGUUGACAGCAGCAAGAAUUUAGCUUGGAGAAACAGACUUGACUUCCAGUUUCUGAUGUUGGAAAAGGCCCAUCUUUCAACAAAGACGUUGAUCAUUGAGCUUAAGUACAACAGAGGUUGAAGGGAAUAGCAUUUACAUUGAAUGGAAGUGGAUAGGGUCCCUGAGGUUGUACUGUAUUGAGGCAACCCACACUCAAAUUUUGUUGUGAAGGACACAGUGUGCUUGUACCUUACAGGCCUGCAAGCCUUGUAGUUACCUAUCCUUGAGAACGAAGAAAGAGCCUUUAUUAAAAGUGAUAUCAACAUUUAUUGGAUAGGGGGGUGUUACUCAUCUGAACCAAAGGGCCCUGAAGCAACACUCCCAGUAUGUAGAGCAGGCAGCUGAUAGGACAUAGCAGCAAUCUUCGUUACUAGGGUGGGAGAAGGAAGCCACCAUUUAUAGAGAGAAUUGACAUCAGAUUGGCUCAUCAGUUACCAGGGAAACCAGCAGCUGGGGCAUGCCCCCAUAGCCCUUCAGGUUAACGACCAUCUCACGAGGGCAGAUGUUUCCUUUAGUAAACUAGCAGGUGAAGCCAUUUUGUCCUAAGGGUUGGAACAAUCCCCAGCUGGGGCAGGGAGCAAGGAUGCAAACAGUUCCUGAUUAGGCUCUAUGAUUAAGAGGGAAGGUCAGUCACAUGAAUGUGGUGUAGCUGAAUCAGGGACUGGUUGAGCAGGGGAUAUGCAAAGAGCAAGAGGACAGCCAUCCAGAGUGGCCUGACACAAACAAGGACAGCAUCCUAGCUGUGACCAACACCUCAGGGCACAGACGAAGAUAAGGAGCCUGGAGAAUAUACAGGUACAGCAACAGAAUUCUUACCGAUUGAAUGUGAGCAGAACUGAGCUGCCAUUUCCAGUAUUCCUCUAGAAUAUAGGAUUCCUAAGGCUUUCAUAAGUUUCCCAUUUGGAGUUACUGAGAAAGUGUCAAAGCUGGCAUGAGAAGGAGAGCACUACAUUUGAUACUCUCAUAACUCGUAGAAUGAACACACAGACUCAACAGACAAAAUCCUCUCCAAAUCCAUAUGGCUCCUAAAUCCAUCUCCUCUUCACUAAGAGCGCACAGAGCCGAUUACAGGAAAAGGU